GAGUUUGAUCAUGGCUCAGAACGAACGCUGGCGGCAGGCUUAACACAUGCAAGUCGAACGCUCCGCAAGGAGAGUGGCAGACGGGUGAGUAACACGUGGGAAUCUACCCUUUACUACGGAAUAACGCAUGGAAACGUGUGCUAAUACCGUAUGUGUCCUUCGGGAGAAGGAUUUAUCGGUAAAGGAUGAGCCCGCGUUGGAUUAGCUAGUUGGUGGGGUAAAGGCCUACCAAGGCGACGAUCCAUAGCUGGUCUGAGAGGAUGAUCAGCCACAUUGGGACUGAGACACGGCCCAAACUCCUACGGGAGGCAGCAGUGGGGAAUAUUGGACAAUGGGCGCAAGCCUGAUCCAGCCAUGCCGCGUGAGUGAUGAAGGCCCUAGGGUUGUAAAGCUCUUUCACCGGAGAAGAUAAUGACGGUAUCCGGAGAAGAAGCCCCGGCUAACUUCGUGCCAGCAGCCGCGGUAAUACG
rnacentral:rRNA from 1 species